rfam:Hordeum vulgare subsp. vulgare, WGS project CAJW01000000 data, contig: morex_contig_48728
CUAGUACUCCCUCCGUCUCAAAUAUUUUGUCUUAGAUUUGUGAUAUAAAUGUAUCUAGUCACGUUUUGCUAUUUAGAUACAUUCAUUUCUACACAAACCUAAGACAAGAAUUUUGGGACGGAGGGAGUAUAAA